rnacentral:lncRNA from 1 species
CAAGACUCAGGCUGGGGUCCUCUGUGAUUCUGGAAAGAAUAAUUAUGGAUUUCAAAGGUCGUUUUGUGGAAUUCUAAAACUGGAAGUGACUUUGGAGACUACUUUUAGUAUUUUCUUUUUGGCAAAGUGCACCUGAAGCCCAGGAAAACUUUGAUUUAACCAAGGUGUAUGGUGAAUAAGCAGAGUUGGAUUAUCAAUCCAGUAUUUGUGUCAAAACCAGGCUUCAGGCUGACUUUUCUCUGCCUAGGGGCUCCUGGAUGUGCUGGUCUGUCUGUCUGGACCUGCUCUGCCUCUCCCCCAUCCUUAACCUUCUACCCU